AUUGAACGCUGGCGGCAUGCUUUACACAUGCAAGUCGAACGGUAACAGGCCUUCGGGUGCUGACGAGUGGCGAACGGGUGAGUAAUGCAUCGGAACGUACCCAGAGGUGGGGGAUAACGCAGCGAAAGCUGUGCUAAUACCGCAUGUGAUCUGAGGAUGAAAGCGGGGGACCGAGCAGCAAUGUUUGGCCUCGCGCCUUUGGAGCGGCCGAUGUCGGAUUAGCUAGUUGGUGGGGUAAAGGCCUACCAAGGCGACGAUCCGUAGCUGGUCUGAGAGGACGACCAGCCACACUGGGACUGAGACACGGCCCAGACUCCUACGGGAGGCAGCAGUGGGGAAUUUUGGACAAUGGGCGCAAGCCUGAUCCAGCAAUGCCGCGUGUGGGAAGAAGGCCUUCGGGUUGUAAACCGCUUUUGGCAGGAACGAAACGGUGUCCGCUAAUACCGGGCGCUAAUGACGGUACCUGCAGAAUAAGCACCGGCUAACUACGUG
rnacentral:rRNA from 1 species